rnacentral:lncRNA from 1 species
UUAUGUCUCCAGUAACAAAUGACAUUUUCUACACUGAUGGGUGACAUCUUCAGCAUAUUGCUCAUACGACAUAGAUGCUUCCAGGAUUUGUAAGGUGCCAGAACAGAAGGAAAAAUGAGAUAAGAGUGAACAGAACAACCGCACGGAGACCAAGACGGAAGAGGCAAGUGAAAAUAUUGAGAUAUCACUGUUUUAUGGAGAACUUCUAGAAAAUGAGUUUACUUUCUCUUGUUCUUGGACAUUCGUCCAUAGUGAUAUGGAUAGGGAAUACUUGAGAUUUCACUUGAGUGUGAGAAUAGUUAUUUGAAUUAGAGUUUAUUUACUUUUUCUGUUAUUUGGAAAACAAAUGCACCAAGAAAGGUGCUAUGCACUGAGAAUACUAAAAAAGGAUAAGAAAUUUGUUCAUCUUAAAGGACAAGAGGGGACUCAUACAGCUUAAACAAGUGAUAACUGUCACUAUACAGUGAGGUGAAUAAAGUGAUGGGAGUGCUUUGGGCAUAUGGUAAAUGUCGUCUAAUUAACUUAUUGUAGUUUAGAGAGAGAAGUCAAAAAGAGAUUCUUGGCAAAGUACGUAAGGUUUAGAGUGAUAAAUAUAAGAAAAUUUUGAAUUAAUCGAAGGAGAUGGAAGUAGAUUUGGGAGAGGUUGCCCUGAGAGAGGUUCGUGGGCAGGAUAUAAUUGAGGAUUUUUAAAGCUAUUAUCUUAUUUUCCACAAUAUUUCAUUAUAAGGGUUAAAAGUUCCAAAAAUCUGUGAAGAGAAUUCUCUUUUUCACAGAGAAAAUUCCUGAUCACUGCUGAUUUUUAGCGAUAAUCCCAUGGCAAAAGUAAUUCUUCAUUCUGUAUUACUGGAAUGUGUGUGUGUGUGUGUGUGUGUGUGUGUGUUUGUGUGUGUGUGUGAGAGAGAGAGACACACACACACACACACACACAGAGACAGACAGACACACACACACAGAACAUAACAGUGAAUGCUGAUAUGACCAGAGGAGAAGGAAGCUUCUAUAAUGUUGGCAGGCCAUGGAAGGCAUCAUUUCUAACUCACCACUGGGGAUACAGUGGUGUUUCCUGCCACUUCUUUGGGUCAGUUUUUGGUAGGAGACAAUGAAGAGUAAUCCCUGACAUUGUGGAGCCUCCAGAUGAGGAGAGAAUAUGAAUGAGUCAUUACAAAUUUGGAAUGUGCAUGUGUAUGUAGAUGUGCAUGUAUGUAUGUACAUGUAUGUCAAUACACAUUCAUAAAUAAAUACAUGUGAUUUCUUAUAGGGCCCUGAAUUUACCUAAUUGUGGGAGCAGACUUAAGCAGCUCUGUUAAGGCUGAUGCUGGAACUUGAGGUCUCUAGGGCAGGUGCCUGAAAUGGCAAAAUGGAUUUAAAGCAGGAGAGAGAGAGAACAAGCUGGAGACUUGAGUCAGAGCCCAAGAGGCUGGGCUGAAACCCAUGUCACUCUUUGGUUGCCUUGGCCAUUGGUAGUAGGGGGUCCUGCAGAGUCCAGGGCUGCAGAGACCAGGGCUCCUCAUCCCAGAGCCCAGUACACAUGCUUGACCUGAAAGUUGAAGAAGCUGCAGGAGGAUGAAGGGGAAGCUGGAUCAGGUUACAGAACAGGCUGCUGGUCAUGCAAAGGAGGAGAGCCAAUAAUUGUCAACAACGCAUGUGAGAGCAACAACACAGCUGCCUCUUCACUUCUGCCCUCCUGAUCUCUCAUAAGAACCUCUUUCGUGCCUCAUCCUAAUUGAAAGCUUAAUGGAAAAAGAAUCCUAGGAUAUAAAGUUUAGCAGCAUUGAAUUAAAAACAUGUUACAAGGCCACAUAGUAAUGUUAGAAAGCAGACUCAUGAUCAUGGCAGCAAGAGAGUUGUCAAUGAGAGGGCACUGGGAUGCUGGUCAUGUCUUUUUUUUUUUAACUGCACCUGCAGGAUUCAUACCUUCCUGGUCCAGGGAUGGAAUCUGCACACAGUAGUGACAACACUGGGUCAUUAACUUCUAGGCCAGAAGGGAAAUCCUGUCCCAUUAAAAAAAAAAAAAACAAAUCUGGAUUCUUAAAGGGAUGUCCUUAUGAUUUUGCAUCUUCUCUGUGUAGGUAGUACUUCAAUAAAAAGUAAACUAAAGUCGAUAAAAAAUUCCCGGUAAUCACUAACAUGGUGAACAUUAUCCAUGAGUGAGAACAAAUAUUCUGAAGGCUGACCUAACAAGGGGCUCAGGAAGGGCUACCUUGUAUGGUUCACUUUUAAGAUGAGACUGAAAUGGAGUCCACUCUUUGGAUGCAGAUGGUAGACAGAACUAUUCAGAAGAAGAGUGAAAGUGCACGAGAGCCCAGCUGAAUUGAGAACAGUGAGAGAGGAGGGAGAAAUGAGGCUUACAGAAGAUCCAGAGACCAAAUAAUGGUGUCUCAUUCUGCUCAGGCUGCCCUACAGAAUACCUUGGCUGUGUGGCUUAAAUAACAUACUUUUCUCACAGUUCUCCAAAGUAGAAGUCCAAGAUCAGGGCUGCAGGUGGUUACCUUCUCUCCGUGCAUUCACAUGGACUUUGCUUUGUGCCUAUUAGAUUAUGACCCACCCUUAUGAUCUCCACUAGCCUUAAUUUUCUCCUCAAAGCACUGUCUCCAAAUACAGCUGUAUUGGGGAUUAGGGCUUCAACAUAUAAUUUCUGAGGCAGACAGUUUUUUUCUUCCUAACAAAUGGAGAGCUCUGUGUGAUGCAUAAAAUACUUUUUGCUCUGUCUUAAGUAUAAGAUUGUGCUUAAAACUUUUAUGAGUGGGAGUGACUUCAUGAGGUUUUAAAAGACCACUCUGUUUGCAGACUGGAGGGGGUGAAAGAGUGAGGACAAGGAGAUCUAUUAAAGGAAGUUGAAGUGUUCCAGGACAGAGGAAGGGAGUGGGUGCUUAGAUUAAAUGGAUCAAAGAGUGUUGUGAAGCGGCUACAAACAAUGCAGAAAAACUUGGAUAUGAAUCCAGGCUCUGCAUUUACUAGGUGAUACUUUGGGGCAAUUUUUGCUUAAGGUACGUUUCAAGUGUUGCAUCUGCAAAGUAAAGAUCAUAAUAAAAGGCCCUCCAUACAAUGUCAAAGGUUAGGCUCCUUGAGAUACAGAAACUGACGGAACUGGUGCAGGGAGUUUAUUGGAGAGUUUGUAGGGGUAAAAGAAGCAGAAUUGGGCAGGGGACGGGUUUAAGUGUAAUAGAGUCAUAGCAAAGGUCUCUGCCAAUUUUGAUGGGAGUAUUGGAGCAGGAUGGUCUUCCUCCCACUGGAAUCCUUUCAAAUUGAGGUGGCAGGGUUUGUGUUUGAACUUGUGCACUGAUCAAGCAUGGGGAAGGGCUGGUGUUCCCGUCAUGGCUCAGUGGUUAACGAAUUCGACUAGGAACCAUGAGAUUGCGGGUUCAGUCUGUGGCCUUGCUCAGUGGGUUAAGGAUCCAGCAUUGCCGUGAGCUGUGGUGUAGGUCGCAGAUAUGGCUCAGACCUGGCAUUGCUGUGGCUCUGGCUCUGGCCAGCAGCUACAGCUCCGAUUAGACCGCUAGCCUGGACACCUCUAUAUGCUGCGAGUGCAGCCCUAGAAAAUACAAAAAAAAAAAAAAAAAAAAAAGCAUUGGGGAGGGCUGGGAUAUAGGGUGAAAUCCUUCAGCCAGAGGCAAGUCUCUGAGGACGGUCCUCACAGAUAAGUGUAGGCUUCCAACAUACCACCAACUGAGGGAAGGAGUUCUUUAGUCAUAUAAGAUGACAUGGAUAGAACUUGAGGGAAAUAUGCUAAGUCAACUGUCAGAUAAAGACAAAUACUUACACAUAGAAUCUAAAAUGGCUGAAUGGGAGUUCCCAUCAUGGUUCAGUGGUUAACGAAUCUGACUAGGGACCAUGAGGUUGCAGGUUCGAUCCCUGGCCUCGCUCAAUGGGUUAAGGAUCCGGUGUUGCCAUGAGCUGUGGUGUAGGUCACAGACAUGGCUCAGAUCUGGUGUUGCUGUGGCUGUGGCAUAGGCCAGAGGCUACAGCUCUGAUUAGACCCCUAGCCUGGGAACCUCCAUGUGCCACAAGUGCAGCCCUAGAAAAUACAAAAGUAAAAUAAAAUAGCUGAAUGGAAGCAACAUAGACCAGAGAUUGAUAGAGCUGGGAGGCGGGGGAAAUUAACAGAUAUUAGUCAAAGGAUACAGAUUUCUAAGAGAAAUCAUUUCUGGGGAGGUAAUAUAUAGCAUGGUGACAAUAGUUAACAAUACUGUAUUGUAUACUUAAAGUUGCUAUGAGAGUAAAUUUUAAACAUUCUCACCAUGAAAACAGCAAAAUGGUAAUUAUGAGAGGUAAAGGAUGCAACUAACCUUAUGGAGUUAAACAUUCCCUAUAUAUAGCCAAGUCAUUGCAUUGUAUACCUUAAAAUUACACAAUAUUAUAUGUCAUUUAUAUCCCAAUAAAGCUGGAGAAUAUAGGCAGGGAAAGAAGUUCUCUUGGACGUCCAAUUCGAUGGCUUCUCCUUCGCUCAUUAGAAUAAUGCUUUAUUCAGCGCUUAGAGUCUCCACCACCCACUCAUCUUAAGCACCACUUCCCUAGGCAUCAGGCUCCGCCUAAAAUUAGCUGCCAGGGCUCCUCUGACAAUAGAAGGUGUUGUCUGUGUUUCCUGACCUCUUUUUUUCAUCUUCUUGAUGAAAGUGGUAUAACAUCUCUCUCUCACUCACUGGUUUUCUUAUGAGGUGAUUUCUAGGGAACUUAUAAUGAAAAAAGUAUUUAUUACCAAAGUUUUUAUUUAUUUUAAGUACUUACUACAGGCCAAGCAUUCCUUCAUUUUCUAUGUAGAAUAGCCAAUAACAGUUUAAAAUGAGGAAACCAGAGUUCCCUUCAUGGCUCAGUGGAAAAGAAUCUGACUAGUAUGCAUGAGGACACUGGUUUGAUCCCUGGCCUUGCUCAGUGGGUUAAGGAUCUGGCAUUGCUGUGGCUGUGGCAUAGGCCUGGAAACCUCCGUAUGCUGUGGGUGUGACCCUAAAAAGACAAAUAAAUUAAAUUAAAUUAAAUGAGGCAACCAAGGCUUAGGAAAGUUAUAUAAUUUUUCAUAUGUAAUAAAGUUCUAAAGCAAUAAAAUCAGGAACUGAACUUGUCUCUUUUGCUUCUCCUUUGUAUGUUAAUCAUUAGACUCAUUGCUUAGUCCCAACCACCAUUAUACCUCAACCCAUAAAUGGCUACCAAAAAUAACCAGCUAGACAGCUGACUCUAGCAAGUUUUUAACCUCUGAGAAUACUCUGUAUCUCUCUGUAAAUAUGGAGCUCGGGACUAAGGUAACUUUCAAAGGGACAGAUUUGAGAUAGACUGACAUAGAGAUAGCAAUGGCAAGAUUCAGGAUUGCUGAGAUAAUUGAGGGUAAGAGAGAAAAGCAAAGUACAGAGGCAAAGUAAUAUGAACAAUAAAGAAAGGUAGAUGAGAAGACACUGGCAAAGUCACCUGAGAAAGCAUCAAAUAAAUCCCAUUCUGAGAGUCUCAUGGAAGAAGGAAUAAUGGUAGGGACUGAAGGCAUGCACUUGAAUGGUUUACAUCAAGAUCAUUGGUGAUGUUCUGCAGGGCAUCUAGAAAAUAAAUUAGCAUAAAAGUCCAUGACCACUUCCAGUCCCCAGCACAACAUAUCCCAACUACACUUAGAACAAAUAUUUUAAGAUGGAUGAGUAAAAUCAUUAUAGGGGGCUCCCAAUUAGAUCAUGUAUGUGUUAAAAUUGCAAGGGGAUUUACAUAAAAUAUAUACUGUGUUAAAUAGUAUCAUUAAUUACAUCAUC